CAACAUAUCCAAAUUGGAGAUCCAUCGGAGCAGUACAACUCCAGAAAUUCAGGUAUGAUGAGUGAACUGUUCAUCAUUUGUUUCAACCCGUCAGACUUGUUGUGAGCUUCAAAAACUCCAUUUUCUCUUGUCAGAUCAACAUACUUUCUUCAUCGAAGUUGUUCCUUAACUUGUGAACUACAACAUAUCCAAAUUUGAGGUCCCUCGGAGCAGUAUAACUCCAGAAAUCCAGGUAUGAUGAGUGACUGUUUAUCAUUUGUCUGUCAACCCGUCAGAUUUGUUGUGAGCUUUGAAACUCUAUUUUCUCUUGCUCAGAUCAGCAUGCUUUCUUCAUUGAAGUUGUUCCUCAGCUUGUGAACUACAACAUAUCCAAAUUUGAGAUCCCUCGGAGCUGUAUAACUCAAGAAAUUCAGGUAUGAUGAAUGACUGGUUAUUAUUUUUUCUGUCAACCCGUCAGAUUUGUUGUGAGCUUCGAAACUCCAUUUUCUCUUGUUCAGAUCGGUAUGCUUUCUUCAUUGAAGUUGUU
rnacentral:lncRNA from 1 species